rnacentral:rRNA from 1 species
CUAGCGGCAGGCCUAAUACAUGCAAGUCGAACGGAUAUAGAGACUUCGGUUUCUAUGAUUAGUGGCGCACGGGUGCGUAACGCGUAUGCAACCUACCUUCCACUGGGGGAUAGCCCACCGAAAGGUGGAUUAAUACCGCAUAAGACCACACCCCGGCAUCGGGGAGUGCUCAAAGCUGAGGCGGUGGAAGAUGGGCAUGCGUGCCAUUAGCUAGUUGGCGGGGUAAAGGCCCACCAAGGCGACGAUGGCUAGGGGUUCUGAGAGGAUGGUCCCCCACACUGGUACUGAGACACGGACCAGACUCCUACGGGAGGCAGCAGUAGGGAAUAUUGGGCAAUGGCCGAGAGGCUGACCCAGCCAUGCCGCGUGCAGGAAGAAGGCCUUCUGGGUUGUAAACUGCUUUUACCAGGGAAGAAAACGCUCCUGCGGGAGUAACUGACGGUACCUGGUGAAUAAGCACCGGCUAACUCCGUGCCAGCAGCCGCGGUAAUACGGAGGGUGCAAGCGUUGUCCGGAUUUAUUGGGUUUAAAGGGUGCGUAGGCGGCCCGUUAAGUCAGCGGUGAAAUCCCGGGGCUCAACCCCGGAACUGCCGUUGAUACUGGCGGGCUUGAGUUCGGUCGAGGCGGGCGGAACUGGUGGUGUAGCGGUGAAAUGCAUAGAUACCACCAAGAACCCCGAUUGCGUAGGCAGCUCGCUGGGCCGAAACUGACGCUGAGGCACGAAAGCGUGGGGAGCGAACAGGAUUAGAUACCCUGGUAGUCCACGCCGUAAACGAUGAUGACUCGAUGUUGGCGAUACACUGUCAGCGUCCAAGCGAAAGCGUUAAGUCAUCCACCUGGGGAGUACGCCCGCAAGGGUGAAACUCAAAGGAAUUGACGGGGGCCCGCACAAGCGGUGG